rnacentral:rRNA from 1 species
CCUACGGGAGGCAGCAGUGGGGAAUAUUGCACAAUGGGGGAAACCCUGAUGCAGCGACGCCGCGUGAGUGAAGAAGUAUUUCGGUAUGUAAAGCUCUAUCAGCAGGGAAGAAAAUGACGGUACCUGAUUAAGAAGCCCCGGCUAACUACGUGCCAGCAGCCGCGGUAAUACGUAGGGGGCAAGCGUUAUCCGGAUUUACUGGGUGUAAAGGGAGCGUAGACGGCAGCACAAGUCUGGAGUGAAAUGCCGGGGCUUAACCCCGGAACUGCUUUGGAAACUGUGCAGCUUGAGUGCAGGAGAGGUAAGUGGAAUUCCUAGUGUAGCGGUGAAAUGCGUAGAUAUUAGGAGGAACACCAGUGGCGAAGGCGACUGACUGGACUGUAACUGACGUUGAGGCUCGAAAGCGUGGGGAGCAAACAGGAUUAGAUACCCCAGUAGUC